UCAUGUUAUGGUAGUGUUGUCACUACUUUUUAUCCACACACAGUGCUAAUAACUUCAUGGUGUGGAGCAUUUUGCGUAAUAAAGCUCUGAAUCUCAUGAUUUGAUUUUUUUCUCCAGAUGUUACUACAGCAUCUGCCUUGCCUCUCUCAUUCACUUUGUAUUUCUAUAAUGUAUUUUUUUGACAUGUAAUGUUUUUAAAGUGAUUAGAUGAUUUUUAUUGUGACACACUACUGGUAUCUUUGAACAAAGUUACUUGUGCUUUUUUAUUUUUGUUGGUUGAUAAGCAAUAUCUUUGUGUUGCACUGGCUUUUUGCUGACUGGCAUCAGAACAGUUUUUUUGUUUGUAAGUACACUUACUUAUUCUGUAGGCUUUUUCCUGGAUAGCAAUGCCACUUAGAACAUACAAUGAGAACAUGAGUUUGUCUUCGAUUGCAGUAUUAAUUUACCUGUGUUCAAUACCCUUCUCAUUGUACUCCACUUUUCUAUGAGUAUGUGUCUACUUAGUUUUUACAGUAAGUCAUUGAUUAUCAUUCGUAGUGCACCUCUGUACUUUUGGAAGAUGUCAGUCUUUCACUGCUGAGUCUGUUGUUAGACUUCAAUGUCCUUGCAGCACCGUAAUACAGUUCUUGAUUCUAAAUCAUAUCGACAAAUAUUUGCAGUUAAUUACUUUAAAAACACACAAUAGCACAGGCAUUCUUUAUCUCCACCUUUUUUCAAACACUUUGCUCAUCAUAAGCUGGAAUUUAUAUCAGCUUGCGAGAGCUGUGAAUAAGUAUCAGUUUAACUCUGCCAGAUCUUGAAAAAUAAAUCAGUUCAGAUUAGUGCUUUUAUUAAGGCUGUUUCACACCACAGUCACACUGUGUCACAUUACGUAAGGUAACAGAUUUUCCAUAGUUUUAAGUGGAGUAAUUCACACUGACCUCGCAUAGCCUCACAGAUGCCAAACCAUGUGUCAGUGUCUGUGGCCUUGCGCAUGCGCAGUGGUCUGUACCACACUGCCAUGCGCAUGACCACAUCUGUCAUGCAGUUUCCUGCCGAACUCGUUACAAGAAGCUGUAUUGCUACUUUUGUUAUUUGUUAUGGAACAGGUAACUGAAACCAUCAGAACGUGUCCACUGCUGUGGAAUACAGAUUUGGAGGAGUGUAGGGACAGCAAUUUAAAGGACACAGCAUGGGGUGAAAUAGCAGAGCAACUGGGACAAAAUAAGGCAAAUUUGAAAGAGGAAUGGAGGAAAUUACGUGACCGCCACCGCCAAGCUCUCUUCCAGAAGAAGACCAAGUCAGGCCAAUGAGCUACAAAAUGCAAGCCAUGGAAAUAUGAACAACAAAUGGAAUUCCUCGUUACAACAGUGAAACGUGUGACACUAAUAUCCCUCCAAUGGACCAAAGUGUUGUUGGGGUAACAGUCCCUGACUGUGACCGUCCUCUCACUCCAGGAGAUGAAAGCAUUACUGAUAUAGAGGAGAAUGAAGAGACUUGUCCCCUUCCCUCUACUAAUGUGUCAACACCAGGUGAAUCCCGUAACCAUCACCACAGACAUAUGGACAAAUUAAUUAAUUAUUUGCAAGAAAAACAGAGCACCAAAAGACGUGCACCAAAAGCUGAUGACUUGGACUUAUUUUUUGCCAGUACUUGCAAGUAAGACAGGGUUGUAGCCUCUCCCCGAUGUUAUUCAAUCUGUAUAUUGAGCAAGCGGUAAAGGAAACAAAAGAAAAAUUCGGAGUAGGUAUUAAAAUCCAUGGAGAAGAAAUAAAAACUUUGAGAUUCGCCGAUGACAUUGUAAUUCUGUCAGAGACAGCAAAGAACUUGGAAGAGCAGUUGAAUGGAAUGGAUAGUGUCUUGAAAGGAGGAUAUAAGAUGAACAUCAACAAAAGCAAAACGAGGAUAAUGGAAUGUAGUCGAAUAAAGUCGGGUGAUGCUGAGGGAAUUAGAUAGGAAAUGAGACACUUAAAGUAGUAAAGGAGUUUUGCUAUUUGGGGAGCAAAAUAACUGAUGAUGGUCGAAGUAGAGAGGAUAUAAAAUGUAGACUGGCAAUGGCAAGGAAAGCGUUUCUGAAGAAGAGAAAUUUGUUAACAUCGAGUAUAGAUUUAAGUGUCAGGAAGUCAUUUCUGAAAGUAUUUGUAUGGAGUGUAGCCAUGUUUGGAAGUGAAACAUGGACAGUAAACAGUUUGGACAAGAAGAGAAUAGAAGCUUUUGAAAUGUGGUGCUACAGAAGAAUGCUGCAGAUUAGAUGGGUAGAUCACAUAACUAAUGAGGAAGUAUUGAAUAGGAUUGGGGAGAAGAGAAGUUUGUGGCACAACUUGACCAGAAGAAGGGAUCGGCUGGUAGGACAUGUUCUGAGGCAUCAAGGGAUCACCAAUUUAGUAUUGGAGGGCAGCGUGGAGGGUAAAAAUCGUAGGGGGAGACCAAGAGAUGAAUACACUAAGCAGAUUCAGAAGGAUGUAGGUUGCAGUAGGUACUGGGAGAUGAAGAAGCUUGCCCAGGAUAGAGUAGCAUGGAGAGCUGCCUCAAACCAGUCUCAGGACUGAAGACAACAACAACAACAACAACAACAACUUGCAAGUCCAUUCAUUUCCUCCCUCAUUUUUUACAUGAAAAAUAUUUAAAAUUGGCCUUUAUGAUUCCUUUAUACAUCAAGGAAAAUAACAUCUUUUUUGGAAAAUUUAAUGUAAUUGUAUAGAUAAAAUAUCAACACAUCAAAUGGGAGCAGGGGAACACACAUGUACAAGUUAUCACAGGUUGUAAGCUUUUGGAGCCAGUGGCUCCUUCUUGCAGCAGAGGGGUUGAAGGGGAAGGAGGAGAUGUGAAGGAAUAGGAAUGGUGAGGCUUAGAAAAAGGAGUAGAGUUCAGAAUAGUUGCAAAGAACCCUGGGUCAGAGGAGACUUACCAAAUGGGAUGAGAAGGAAAGACUGAGUGAGUGUCUUUGCCGAACUCUGCCCCUUUUCCUAAACUUCACCAGUCUUUUUACUUUCACCACUCUCCCUUCCCUUUGAACCCUUCUGCCAGAAGCAGCAGCCACUGGCUGGCCUUUUUCUGCCUUGGUAAAGGAUUACUUCAAAAGCUAGCAAGUUUUCUUAUUUUCUGUGUGUAGGCCUAUUGAUGACUCAAGCUUUUUCUUUUUUGUGAGUAGUCACCUGUAAUCCAAAAGUAUUUACAUGCUGCCGCAACUUUCCUACAACAUUUUAAAAUACAUUUAAUAAGCCCAGUGGCCAACUUGACCUUCUCUUGCUGAUCAAUUGGCAAAAAUAUUGAAAAUGAAAGGUUUCUACCAUUGCUGGCUCUUGUCUUCCUAUGUGGUCUUUUCAAAACUGAUGCAGAUCAUAUGGGUGACAGAUCCUGAAAUGAUUUCUGAUGGAUAAUUUUACCACCUGGGUCUGCUCCGAGACUUCAUUUCUCCAAGCUUGUGAGCUUCAGAAUAUUAUGAAGUGCCCUACCUCAACUAUGCGGAGGUCCUUUAGCACCACAUAGCUGGACUGAAACGUGCUUAUUAAAAUCAGUUUCUUUCUGUUACUGUAAAAGUGCGAAAGAUGAAUAAUGAGAACCAGGUGAAGAAGAAUAUAUAAUGACACUGUAUCUACACAAUAAUUAAUAUGACAGAUCUUUUCCAGUUUUUUAUUUUGUUUUGUUGAAGAUUACUGUCCCACAAACAGCUAAAGCAUGACUGCUAUGUUAAUGAGUGAUUCUUGUUACAUUAGAGUAUGAAAACAUUCUUCUGCUCUUCAUAGAUUAUCAUCUCUGGAAUAAAAUGAAGUACAUACAAGAAUUUGGAAGCAGAUAUGUGAAAUAUCAAUUUAUUAAGCAGAACAUGGAAGUUUGAAAACUGAAAUACUAAAUUACUUAUAGAAGUGUUCAGAUAUGUAAUUUAUGAUUGUUUCUGCAUGAGUACUGUUCCUAAGAUGUACGUAAUGGAAUGAAAUAGUUUGAGAAAUAGCCGAAGUGCUCUGACUGUAAUUGUUAUUUCUAUAAAGUUCUCUAAGUUGUUAAAUAAUGCACUUUGUGCGAAAUAUUUUCAAUCAUUAGGCAUUUUGCUGUGCAGACCUGUCACAUCAGUAACUUAUACUGAAAUUACAUUGUAUGUAACAUUUCAGCUGUACAAAAUCAGUAUGAUUAAGUAUCAGGCAAUGGAAAAACCUGUAUGGAAUAGUGGCAUUAUGAAAAAGGAUAGUGCUAUUCACCAUAUAGAGUAGAUACUGAGGCACAGCAGGCGCAACAAAUAGACUGCUAAAUGUGAGCUUUCAGUCAAUGGGCCCUCUACCAAAGUACACACACACACACACACACACACACACACACACACGUGCGUGCACACGUUUACUUCAGAAGAAGGCCUUUUACCUGAAAACUCAUGUUUGAGGCAGUCUUUUUAUUGUGCCUGCUUGUGACGCAGCAUCCCCUCUACAUGGUGGGUAGCAGUUCAUGAUUUUCAUGAUAUUGUAUAACAAAUUACACUAUUUAUAUUGCCUAAAAGGUACUAUGCAUGUAAAGGGUUUUGGUUAUUGCCUAUUUCAGUGUUAAUAGUGAUAUCAAAUUCUUCAUACACUAUAUAAUACAGUUCAUAGCAUAUUUCGAAACAGCGAGGGUGUAUCAGCUCUGAAGUGUUUAUGGAAGGUGAAUUUAUACUUCCUGUGCUUUAUGUAACUGCAUAUAUUUUUUCCUUUUGUUUAUACUUUUUAAAAUUAAAUUCUUAGACCAGAAUACAAAUAGCAGAACAGAGGAGGAUCACCAAUGUGUGCUGUAACUAUACAAGUGUAGCAUUAGAAUGUAUAUGUAUAUUUCAAUCUUUUCCCAGAAUAUUAUGAUAAAUGACACAUAUAGCUGAUUUUAACAGAAAAGUUUAGUUAUUAAGUGAGAUGUGGUUUUGAACAAUCAGAAUUGUUAUCCAUCAUAUAGAUGUAAUUUGUUCUCUGUAGACAGGAAUUAAAGAUGUGACACUUGAUAAUUUUACUUUAUUCACUUCCAUUUGUUGUAACUAUUUGAGAGUGCAUAUUGCUGAGUAGUGUGCAUUAAAAAGGCACAUAAUUUGCCAGUAAGUAUCCAUUUAACAUGGGAGAUGUGAAUUCAUCAACAGUUACCUAUGUAACUUUUCACCUUUCCUGUAAUAUUUCUUUCUCUGUCUUACUGGUAUAGUGUAAGCAUCAAGACACUGA